UACAAUCAAUUUACUCACUGACACACUCAACCAACAAAUAUGCAUGCUUAGAUUUUUUUUUAUUAUUUCAUACAUGCUUGUAAACGUAUACACAUACACAAGAAACACAAUUUCACAAAACACAACACACGCACAACACUGAGAUUCCCCUUCACCUUCCCCUCUCUCUCGUUCCUUACCGGCGAACAUCCGGCUGCCGGACGUCUGUUUCUCCGGCCACUCACCCCAGCCCCCACCUCCAAUCUCCUCUAAAAACACACCCAACACUUCUCCUCGUUCCUCUCUCCAUCUAAGGCAGCCGACCACCGGUGAAGCCGGUGGCUGUGCGACGUCAUGCGAGGGAGAGAGACAAACGGCGGAGCCGAAGUCGUUUUUCCGGCGACGGUUCGCCGGCGACUCUCAGGUGAUAAUGGCGAUGAUGAUGAUGUUACACGACGGCGAUAAGUGAUUCGGUUCAAGUUUCAUUUCAGUCACGGAGAUCAGUUUAGGGUGCGGCACGGGUCAGCAGGUCGACCCGAUUCUUUUUAGGUUUCUCCGACAUGAUGUUGAUAGUGGAUCAGGGCGCCGUUUUCAACCACACCCACACCUCAUAGAUCAGUGAGAUGAGAAAGAGACGGCGUCACCGGUGGGAUUCGGCGACGGCCGGCGACGGUUCGAUUUGGCAGUAGAGCUCCGUGGAACUUGGUGUGUUGUUUUUCUUUCUAUUCCCGACGACCUCGACGGCUGGCGAUGGUGGAAGUGAUAUUGGCGGGUGAACAUGGGUUCGAGCUUCACGUUCGGGUUGGAAUCGAGAUUUGGUUCGGGCACAGACAACUGGUUCAGCAGGUUUAUCUCGGUUUAGUUCGGAAUCGACUUGGUAAAACCGAGUCGACUCGGUCAACCCCCGAGUCAACUCGGGUCAACAGCGGUCAAACAGGUCAACCUCCGGUCAACAGGAAGGACCCAGUAAAGUUUUAAGCGUAGCGAAUUAGUUUGCGUUAGAUUUAUAUAGUUAAACACGAAACCGAGCUCGAACCGUAGAAUCAUGACUAGUUUGAAUAUAAGUUUACAAAUUUAGUUAGUACACGACAACCUUACGAGAUGUUAUGUAUAUCUUGUUUGUUUAUUUAUUGGUUGAGUUUUGAAAAGAAAAUACGACGACUU